UAUUAAUAUAAAAUUGAUAUGUAUAUAUAUAAAGGAAAAGGGGAUGUUCCCUAAAAGUUCCAAGGAUUGCAAGUUAUGGGCAAAGGCAGCAAAUGGAUUUGGCUGUUUCUGUGUACCCAUGCUGUAUUCUGCACAAAAGGCUAUGGAUAAAAAGUCCCAUUUGAUCUGAAAUUGUGUUUCGGGGACAAAUGGGAAUUAAAAAUUGAAGUGAACAGCUGUUGAGGGCCCCUUUCUCUAAAUUUUAUUUCUUUCGAAAUACAAC
rnacentral:lncRNA from 1 species